ACGAACGCUGGCGGCGUGCCUAAUACAUGCAAGUCGAGCGGAAUGAUGAAGAAGCUUGCUUCUUCUGAUUUUAGCGGCGGACGGGUGAGUAACACGUGGGCAAUCUGCCCGUAAGACUGGGAUAACUCCGGGAAACCGGGGCUAAUACCGGAUAAUCCUGACUCUCUCCUGAGAGUCAGUUGAAAGAUGGUUUCGGCUAUCACUUACGGAUGAGCCCGCGGCGCAUUAGCUAGUUGGUAGGGUAAUGGCCUACCAAGGCGACGAUGCGUAGCCGACCUGAGAGGGUGAUCGGCCACACUGGGACUGAGACACGGCCCAGACUCCUACGGGAGGCAGCAGUAGGGAAUCUUCCGCAAUGGACGAAAGUCUGACGGAGCAACGCCGCGUGAGUGAAGAAGGUUUUCGGAUCGUAAAACUCUGUUGUUAGGGAAGAACACGUACGAGAGUAACUGCUCGUACCUUGACGGUACCUAACCAGAAAGCCACGGCUAACUACGUG
rnacentral:rRNA from 1 species